rnacentral:lncRNA from 1 species
CACAGUCAAUGCUCCAUCCGGUUCUGAAUCUGUUUCAUUAUCUAUAAAACAGAGCCAGUGAAACCUAUGUCAAGGGAAGUUUGGAAGGAGUCACUGAGUUGACAUAGGCCAAAGAACUGGCGCCAAAAGGUCAUGAAGACAAAAAAGAAUCCAACAGAUAUUUAUUGAGCAUACACUGUGUCACACACUACGCCGGCUUCCAGAAAGAGUCCUGCACAAAUGAAGCACCACGUGUACCCUCAUGGGGUGGAGAGGAAGCCUUAGAAUCACACUUCCAAGGGUGUAAAUGCCGCACGAGAGGUCCGCCACAGACAGCGAUGGGACGCGGAGACACAGGCAGAAGAAACGCUCUUUCCUGUCUGGGUUCCACCCUCAACAACACCACCAAAGCCACCACUUAGGAGACACUUCGCAUGGCUCCCUGGGGAGAGUUCAAAACCCCAGGCUACUCUUCCCGCUGGGCUAACUGUCCAGUACCAGAGAUCUGGGGAGAUGAGCUUAUUUCUCUUGCAAACCCCGCAGGCAGUGACUCACCAGCGCUCUGGAGAGGGGAGUGGGAGGCCGGUCUCUGAAGGGAUGCUGCCAACCCCGUGAUGGCUCGUGUCUGCUGAAUGUAGAUUUCGCUGUCCAACACAUCCUGCCACAGUCAUUACCCCCGGAGCUAACUGCAAAGAAUGAAAGCUUCCUGCCCAGUCAGACACCCACCUGGCGCCAGAAAGAAGAAUUAAAGGUCGGCCAAGGAUGGCAACGUCCACGUCCCUUGAAUUCUUGGCUGGAACUGUGCCAGCAGGUGUGGGACCUUGUGUGCCGAGGAGGAGGACGCAGGGUGGCUCCACGGCAGACACCACGGCUCUUCCUUCCUGCCUCACUCCAGUCUGUGUCUCCCUCUUGCUCUUGUCUGUGUCACUUUCUUCUUUCCCGGCCCAUUAAGAGUUACAAGGACGUCAGCAGCAUCACCUCAAUAGGAGGUCAGCUCUGGGCCACGCGGAUGCAUCCACCUGCAGUCGAGCCUCUGCGGCCCGUAGAGGGAGCUCCCUGCGGUGGGUGGCGCACUGUACAGACGGGGAGCUGCACCCAGACACCGUGUCCUGCCUGUACUCCAACCCC